CAGUAGCCGCGGUAACACCAGCAGCCCAAGUGGUGGUCGCGAUUAUUGGGCCUAAAGCGCUCGUAGCCGGGCCGGUAAGUCCCUUGUGAAAUCGGACGGCCUAACCGUUCGGCGUGCAAGGGAUACUGUCGGUCUUGAGGCCGGGAGACGUCCGAGGUACUCCGGGGGUAGCGGUGAAAUGUUCUGAUCCUCGGGGGACCACCGGUGGCGAAGGCGUUCGACGAGAACGGGCCUGACGGUGAGGGGCGAAGGCUAGGGGAGCAAACGGGAUUAGAUACCCCAGUAGUCCCUGUCUCUUAUU
rnacentral:rRNA from 1 species